GUUGUAUAGUUAAGUGAGAAAGCGUACAGGGCGGAUGCCUUGGCAAUCAGAGGCGAAGAAGGACGUGCUAAUCUGCGAAAAGCGUGGGUGAGUUGAUAAGAAGCGUUUAACCCACGAUGUCCGAAUGGGGAAACCCGAUAGGCGAAGAGCCUAUCAUUGCGAGGUGAAUAAAAUAGCCUCGUAAGGCGAACCGGGAGAACUGAAACAUCUAAGUACCCCGAGGAAAAGAAAUCAACCGAGAUUCUGUGAGUAGCGGCGAGCGAAAGCGGAGGAGCCAGUAAGUAAUAGCAGCAGAGAUAGAGGAAUUGUCUGGGAAGGCAAGCGACACAGGGUGAUAGCCCCGUACUUAAAAUCCAGGCUGUGGUACUAAGCUUACGAGAAGUAGGGCGGGACACGAGGAAUCCUGUCUGAAGAUGGGGGGACCAUCCUCCAAGGCUAAAUACUCCUGAUUGACCGAUAGUGAACCAGUACUGUGAAGGAAAGGCGAAAAGAACCCCGGUGAGGGGAGUGAAAUAGAACCUGAAACCCUGUACGUACAAGCAGUGGGAGCCCGCAAGGGUGACUGCGUACCUUUUGUAUAAUGGGUCAGCGACUUAUAUUUUGUAGCGAGGUUAACUGAAUAAGGGAGCCGAAGGGAAACCGAGUCUUAACUGGGCGAAGAGUUGCAAGGUAUAGACCCGAAACCCGGUGAUCUAGCCAUGGGCAGGUUGAAGGUUGGGUAACACUAACUGGAGGACCGAACCGACUAAUGUUGAAAAAUUAGCGGAUGACCUGUGGCUGGGGGUGAAAGGCCAAUCAAACCGGGAGAUAGCUGGUUCUCCCCGAAAUCUAUUUAGGUAGAGCCUUGUGUGAAUACCUUUGGGGGUAGAGCACUGUUUCGGCUAGGGGCCCAUCCCGGGUUACCAAACCGAUGCAAACUCCGAAUACCAAAGAGUAAUGCACAGGAGACACACGGCGGGUGCUAACGUCCGUCGUGGAGAGGGAAACAACCCAGACCGCCAGCUAAGGUCCCAAAAUCUAUAUUAAGUGGGAAACGAAGUGGGAAGGCUUAGACAGCUAGGAUGUUGGCUUAGAAGCAGCCACCAUUUAAAGAAAGCGUAAUAGCUCACUAGUCGAGUCGGCCUGCGCGGAAGAUGUAACGGGGCUAAAAUAUAGUACCGAAGCUGCGGCAUCAAUCGAAGGAUUGUUGGGUAGGGGAGCGUUGUGUAAGCGGAAGAAGGUGGUUCGAGAGGAUUGCUGGACGUAUCACAAGUGCGAAUGCUGACAUAAGUAACGAUAAAACGGGUGAAAAACCCGUUCGCCGGAAGACCAAGGGUUCCUGUCCAACGUUAAUCGGGGCAGGGUGAGUCGGCCCCUAAGGCGAGGCUGAAAAGCGUAGUCGAUGGGAAACGGGUUAAUAUUCCCGUACUUGGUAAAGCUGCGAUGUGGGGACGGAGAAGGUUAGGUUAUCGACCUGUUGGAGAUGGUCGUUUAAGUUGGUAGGUGGGUGAGUUAGGCAAAUCCGGCUCACCGUUAACACUGAGAGAUGAUGACGAGGCACUAAGGUGCUGAAGUAACUGAUACCACACUUCCAGGAAAAGCCACUAAGCUUCAGGCUUUACUAAACCGUACUGAAAACCGACACAGGUGGUCAGGUAGAGAAUACUCAGGCGCUUGAGAGAACUCGGGUGAAGGAACUAGGCAAAAUAGCACCGUAACUUCGGGAGAAGGUGUGCCGGCGUAGAUUGUAGUGACUUGCUCACGAAGGUUGAACCGGUCGAAGAUACCAGCUGGCUGCAACUGUUUAUUAAAAACACAGCACUCUGCAAACACGAAAGUGGACGUAUAGGGUGUGAUGCCUGCCCGGUGCUGGAAGGUUAAUUGAUGGUGUAAUCGAAAGAGAAGCUCCUGAUCGAAGCCCCAGUAAACGGCGGCCGUAACUAUAACGGUCCUAAGGUAGCGAAAUUCCUUGUCGGGUAAGUUCCGACCUGCACGAAUGGCAUAAUGAUGGCCAGGCUGUCUCCACCCGAGACUCAGUGAAAUUGAAAUCGCCGUGAAGAUGCGGUGUACCCGCGGCUAGACGGAAAGACCCCGUGAACCUUUACUAUAGCUUGACACUGAACCUUGAAUUUUGAUGUGUAGGAUAGGUGGGAGACUAUGAAGCGGUAACGCCAGUUAUCGUGGAGUCGUUGUUGAAAUACCACCCUUUAACGUUUGAUGUUCUAACGAAGUGCCUGAAACGGGUACUCGGACAGUGUCUGGUGGGUAGUUUGACUGGGGCGGUCUCCUCCCAAAGUGUAACGGAGGAGCACGAAGGUUUGCUAAUGACGGUCGGACAUCGUCAGGUUAGUGCAAUGGUAUAAGCAAGCUUAACUGCGAGACAGACAAGUCGAGCAGGUGCGAAAGCAGGUCAUAGUGAUCCGGUGGUUCUGAAUGGAAGGGCCAUCGCUCAACGGAUAAAAGGUACUCCGGGGAUAACAGGCUGAUACCGCCCAAGAGUUCAUAUCGACGGCGGUGUUUGGCACCUCGAUGUCGGCUCAUCACAUCCUGGGGCUGAAGUAGGUCCCAAGGGUAUGGCUGUUCGCCAUUUAAAGUGGUACGCGAGCUGGGUUUAGAACGUCGUGAGACAGUUCGGUCCCUAUCUGCCGUGGGCGUUGGAGAAUUGAGAGGGGCUGCUCCUAGUACGAGAGGACCGGAGUGGACGCAUCACUGGUGUACCAGUUGUCUCGCCAGAGGCAUUGCUGGGUAGCUAAAUGCGGAAGAGAUAAGUGCUGAAAGCAUCUAAGCACGAAACUUGCCUUGAGAUGAGUUCUCCCAGUCUAUAAGACUGUAAGGGUUGUUGGAGACUACGACGUAGAUAGGCUGGGUGUGUAAGCGGUGUGAGCCGUUGAGCUAACCAGUACUAAUUGCCCGAGAGGCUUAACUAUACAACGCUCAAGGGUUUUG
rnacentral:rRNA from 1 species